UACGGGGGGGGCAAGCGUUGUUCGGAAUUACUGGGCGUAAAGGGCUCGUAGGCGGCCAACUAAGUCAUACGUGAAAUCCCUCGGCUUAACCGGGGAACUGCGUCUGAUACUGGAUGGCUGGAGUUCGGGAGAGGGAUGCGGAAUUCCAGGUGUAGCGGUGAAAUGCGUAGAUAUCUGGAGGAACACCGGUGGCGAAGGCGGCAUCCUGGACCGAUACUGACGCUGAGGAGCGAAAGCGUGGGGAGCAAACAGG
rnacentral:rRNA from 1 species